rnacentral:SRP_RNA from 1 species
GGGUGAGUCCUUCACGACCAGCUCCCUAUGAAAUCCCCCAGAUCUUGACCGAAGCAAGGGUAGUAGGUUGAGCGGUGCGAUGCAGGUAGCUCAUCCACC